UGUCUGUCUACGAUGGCUCUCGAUCCGUCUUGUCUCCGGCUCUCGAGGCUGGGGGCGGGGUCGGCCCUUUGCGCGCGCGCGCUCGUGCUGGGCGGCGUGCUCGUGCGCUCGUCUGUGUAAAUUCCCGCCCAGUGAGGGCAAUGAUUCCGUGGACGUGACACUGCUUCUGAAUGUUAUGAGGUUCUGGGUGAUCGUGCUUUGCAUUUGCGUGGAA